rnacentral:rRNA from 1 species
GACGAACGCUGGCGGCGUGCCUAAUACAUGCAAGUAGAACGCUGAAGAGAGGAGCUUGCUCUUCUUGGAUGAGUUGCGAACGGGUGAGUAACGCGUAGGUAACCUGCCUUGUAGCGGGGGAUAACUAUUGGAAACGAUAGCUAAUACCGCAUAACAAUGGAUGACACAUGUCAUUUAUUUGAAAGGGGCAAUUGCUCCACUACAAGAUGGACCUGCGUUGUAUUAGCUAGUAGGUGAGGUAACGGCUCACCUAGGCGACGAUACAUAGCCGACCUGAGAGGAUGAUCGGCCACCCUGGGAAUGGGACACGGCCCAGACUGCUACGGAGAGCAGCAGUAGGGAAUCUUAGGCAAGGGGGGCAAACCUUACCAAGCAACGCCGCGUGAGUGAAGAAGGAUUUCGGAUCGUAAAGGUCUGUUGUAGGUCAAGAACGGGUGUGGGAGUGGAAAGUUCACACUGUGACGGUAGCUUAACAGAAAGCGACGGCUAACUACGUG